UACGUAGGUGACAAGCGUUGUCCGGAUUUACUGGGCGUAAAGGGCGCGCAGGCGGUCGAUCAAGUCGAGUGUGAAAGCCCCCGGCUCAACUGGGGAGGGUCAUUUGAAACUGGUCGACUCGAAGGCAGGAGAGGGUAGUGGAAUUCCCGGUGUAGUGGUGAAAUGCGUAGAUAUCGGGAGGAACACCAGUGGCGAAGGCGACUACCUGGCCUGUUCUUGACGCUGAGGCGCGAAAGCUAGGGGAGCAAACGGG
rnacentral:rRNA from 1 species